UGCUCAGACAGCAGCCAGUCAGAGCAGGAGGGAUUCCAGACUUCAGGAGACAGCAGGGAGUGGGGCUGAAGCAAGGGAGAGAAGAGGAUUGUCUCAGGUGAGGGCAGUGCCCUCUGAAGCAGGACAUCUCCAUGUGGGCCUCUGUCCUUGGAUGAGGGAGGAUGGGAGGAGAAGAGAGCCAAGGCUCUGCCAGCUCCCUCUGGAGAAGUCCUGCAGGCUCCCAUUUGUGCCAUCCUGGCCAUGGCCAUGCCAUGCUGAGCCUCCUGCCCCAGGACCUGCCUGACCCUGCAGCUCUGAGCCACCAGGACCUGUGCUCC